GACGAACGCUGGCAGCGUGCUUAACACAUGCAAGUCGAACGGAAAGGCCCUGCUUUUGUGGGGUGCUCGAGUGGCGAACGGGUGAGUAACACGUGAGUAACCUGCCCUUGACUUUGGGAUAACUUCAGGAAACUGGGGCUAAUACCGGAUAGGAGCUCCUGCUGCAUGGUGGGGGUUGGAAAGUUUCGGCGGUUGGGGAUGGACUCGCGGCUUAUCAGCUUGUUGGUGGGGUAGUGGCUUACCAAGGCUUUGACGGGUAGCCGGCCUGAGAGGGUGACCGGCCACAUUGGGACUGAGAUACGGCCCAGACUCCUACGGGAGGCAGCAGUGGGGAAUAUUGCACAAUGGGCGGAAGCCUGAUGCAGCAACGCCGCGUGCGGGAUGACGGCCUUCGGGUUGUAAACCGCUUUCGCCUGUGACGAAGCGUGAGUGACGGUAAUGGGCAAAGAAGCACCGGCUAACUACGUG
rnacentral:rRNA from 1 species